AAGACUAUGCUUUCAGGGAUCAUUUUUGUAGUG
rnacentral:snRNA from 1 species